rnacentral:lncRNA from 1 species
CCGGGAGCUUCCCUGGGACACCAAGGAGCUGUCACGUUGAACUAGCCCGGGAGCUUCCCUGGGACACCAAGGAGCUGUUGAAUAGAUCGACCAGUGUGCCAUUUACUUCCUCAUUUACACGUCAGUGCAUUUGUUUUGAGUGAGGAGGAGAGUAGCUUGGUCUGGGAAUCAGUCACCAAUUUCUCCUUCUUGUGUGUCCCCGCCUCCCUACCGAAAGUCUCACAGCGGGUGUUUUACAGUUGUAACUUUCAAUACCCAGGAAUAAUCCCCUUUUGAUGCAUUUCCCCAUAUGGACUAUUUCAACAAUGGACUAAUAAAACAAAUAUCAAAAGACAGUUUUGGGUUCUGACCAGGAUAAUAGAGGUACUACAGACUAAAGAGUUGUGGGGUCUGACCAGGAUAAUAGAGGUACUACAGACUAAAGAGUUGUGGGGUCUGACCAGGAUAAUAGAGGUACUAUAGACUAAAGAGCUGUGGGGUCUGACCAGGAUAAUAGAGGUACUACAGACUAAAGAGCUGUAGGGUCUGACCAGGAUAAUACAGGUACUACAGACUAAAGAGCUGUGGGGUCUGACCAGGAUAAUAAGAUUACUACAGACUAAAGAGCUGUGGGGUCUGACCAGGAUAAUAGAGGUACUACAGACUAAAGAGCUGUGGGGUCUGACCAGGAUAAUAGCGAUACUACAGACUAAAGAGCUGUGGGGUCUGACCAGGAUAAUAGAGGUACUAUAGACUAAAGAGUUGUGGGGUCUGACCAGGAUAAUAGAGGUACUACAUACUAAAGAGCUGUGGGGUCUGACCAGGAUAAUAGAGGUACUACAGACUAAAGAGCUGUGGGGUCUGACCAGGAUAAUAGAGGUACUACAGACUAAAGAGCUGUGGGGUCUGACCAGGAUAAUACAGGUACUACAGACUAAAGAGCUGUGGGGUCUGACCAGGAUAAUAAGAUUACUACAGACUAAAGAGCUGUGGGGUCUGACCAGGAUAAUAGAGGUACUACAGACUAAAGAGCUGUGGGGUCUGACCAGGAUAAUAGCGAUACUACAGACUAAAGAGCUGUGGGGUCUGACCAGGAUAAUAGAGGUACUAUAGACUAAAGAGUUGUGGGGUCUGACCAGGAUAAUAGAGGUCUAUGACCGACUCUGUGCCAAGCGGCUGCUAACUAACGCCAGCGUCUAUCCUGCCCAUGUUGCCAAGCAAGUGACUCUGAGACCUGCACUCCCUCUCAGCCCCACAACAGCAACUGACUCUCCUACGUUGCAUCCCAAAUGGUACCCUAUACCCUAUGUAGUGCACUACUUUCACCAGGUCCCCGUUCAAAAGUAGCAAACUAUGUAGGGAAUAGGGUGCGAUUUGAGAUGCAGACCUAGUCCUAGUAUGACCUGCAGGGGCUCUGACUAACUGAUAUUUAGAACAACUGACUGGC